CAGAAACACCCACUGAAUGCAAAUGACAGCACCAGAGGGAGGUCUCUGAGAGGGGCAGCAGGAUUCUCUUGGCUCAGUGCAACAAGGCCAGGCGUCCCAUGAAGCAACUUUAAAGCGUCGCCGGGAAGAGGAGAAAGAGGGGAGUUAGAGGAUGCGGCCCAUCUUCAUUCUGCAAGGGAAUCUGGUGGCCACAUGUAUCCCCAUCCUCUGGCUUGAUGAUGAUGAUGAAAGAUGUCAUGCUAGGAAGCUCUGGAGAUCAGAGACACGCGGACCACAUACCGGCAUUUCAACACGAGAACACGGCUCCCAGCGCCUGCCGAACCUCGGAAUUUGCACCUUGUAACACUAGAAAUGGACAUCUGUAGACGAAAGAAAAACCCUCGUGUACACAGGGAUUUUAUGGAGCCGAGGGGGGCUCUUUCAUCCCUCCAACACUGCAAGGGCAGUCCUGCUGCCAACAGUUCCCUGUUGGAUAUGAAUUGCGAGUUCAGCCACGCUGGUGUGUGUGUGCAUGCCUACGUGCGUGGGUGCACACGCGCGUUGUUCGGGGAUUAGAGGUCUCUUCCAGGCUCAACAACAAAGGGUGGCACAUGGCAGCUAUUGUCCCCGCUUAGCCAGGGUGAAGUCGGGGGAGGUCACAGCUGUCCUGACCAUAUUUAGCUCUCAGAACAGGAUUAAUUUAGUUUAGCUUUUUCUUUUCUUUCCUUUUCUUUCUUUUUGUUCUUUAUUUUUUUUCCUCUCCGAGGAAUAAAUUGCUGGCUGGUUAGCAAGAAUGCAAGUCACAAGUUUCGGGACCAAUGCGGUGGUUGCUCAUCCCAUUGAAAGCCUCAGAAACUGGCUCUGUCUCAGGAAAAGGGGAACCACACGGUGUCCUCCUGGGCAGUCUGGCUCGCCAGUCGUGGUUGAUAAUCACAGAACCAGAGAACCCUUUGAGUUGGAAGGGACCCUUAAAGACCAUCUGCCCCAACCCCCCUGCAAUGAACAGGGACACCCACCCCAUUUCAAACUGGAUGUGCCUGCAGGGAUGGGGCAUCCUCCUCCUCUCUGGUGGAGAUAAUCAGAGAGCCAUUUCACACAAAGUCAUGGAACUUGGGUUGGACCCAAGCAAUCACAGCUAUCUUCUCCCGACCUGCUUCCAAACAAUUCCUCCUAUGCAAAUCUGCACUUAUAAUGAAAAUAAAAGGGAAGGAGAAAAAAGCCCCAACCCAGAGACCCUCCUUCUCCUUGCCAGAUGAGCUGUUCCUCAGAAACACCUGUCUGCUAAAUUAGAGUGGGAAUUGUGAACGCCAAGCACAGCAUAUUUUCCUUCGCCACUAAUAUAUUGGAGUUGCAUAUGGUGCCCUUGGGGAAAGGCAAUUGUUUCAAGUCAGAUUUUCAAAUCAUGAGCAAAUCCUAGGGAGAGAGAUUUGCUGAUUUACAGUGGACCUUGAGUACAUAUCACUGGGCUGUGUCUCGGAUGGGGAAAACACAGAACAGGAGCUGAAGGGACAGUGAGGACAUGCUGUGUGAUGACACCACACGAGGGUGCAGGGAGCAAAGCCAGAGGAGUGCUUUAGCUGUGCAGAAAUUGCUAUUCCUGGUGCAAAAGAAAGGGAAAUAGCAGAGAGAAGAGAGAGGUGCACAGGGGCUGCGUCCCAUCCCAGCCAUGCAGAGGGGAGUGAGGGUCCUCCUGACAGCCCUGGGGAUGGGAAUUCCUGCACAGCAGCCAUGCAGGGACACAUAGAGGCACGAUGACUUUCGGAUCGCUUCAGAAUACAUAUUAAUGCAAAUGAGAGGUAUCUAGCUAAGCGUUUUGUCAUUUGGUCCCUCCAUAGCUGGAAGAAGGGAUUGCUUCAGAUUUAUGUGCUACGUGUUGUUUUUCUUGGCAGCGCGGAGUGGCGCGGUCUCAAAAGGCUUGCAAUUUUAGGGAUACUUUCUGAUACUUAAAGAGAGACUUCUGGCUGGAGUCCACCAACUGCCUAUAGCCACAGAUACUAAAACUCCUUUCCAAUGACUGCCACUAAUCACGCAACACUUUUAUGCUUAACAUCUUGCCCUGGAGUUGACCCAGGAACUAAUGGGUCCGAUCCUUGAAUGGUUCUCCAAGUAGUGGUGCAUGGAUGAGCCCAGCAAGACCAGAGCAGCCUUUUGGGCUGCUGCAUCUAACAAACACUGCUGGGGUUCAUUGGGGAAAAAAAACAGUGUAUAUAUAAUAUAUAUGCAUACAUACAUAUAUUAUGUAUAUAUAUGCAUAUAAUAUAAAAACAUGUUGGUUGAACCUGGCUCUGUGCAAAUGCUGGCACACAGAUGAGGCAUGAAAUGAGCCAGUUAAGAGCCCGUGAUGAGAAAAUGAGUUGUCUUUUUGUUUUGUUUUCUGGAAAUCAGUGAAGCCCAUCUGGGAGUCAAAGGGAACAAAUGAAAGGCAUGUGGGAAUGAUAGCAAGAGAGCCAAGGUUGAGAGGAAUGGAAAGAAGGGCAGGUGCAGUGAAGGCACUAGGCUUAUCAUCAACGUCAUCACCAAAAAAUGGUUCAAUGGAUUAUUUUUUAGAUUUCAGCCUGUUCAUAAAAACAGGUCUAACACUUUGUAUGUCAAGUUCAUACAUUCAUUCCCCAGCUGAAGCCACCAAAGAGAAGGAAGGAAUGUGGAUGCUGCUCCCACCUGUCCCCUGCUGUGGGGAGCAAAGCGGCGCUGCUCGGCUCUGUAGGUUCGUUACCAAUCCCACUAAUUUUAUUUCUGAUUAUUUAUGUUUUUUCAUGAGCAGCCAUUAAAUGUUCAUUUGUUAAAGG
rnacentral:lncRNA from 1 species